rnacentral:tRNA from 1 species
GGGUGUGUAGCUCAGGUGGUUAGAGCGCUGUCCUGAUAAGACAGAGGUCCCAUGUUCGAGUCAUGGCAUACCCACUA